rnacentral:rRNA from 1 species
AUGGCCAUCCUCAACGCCAAGGCCAGCACCGGCCAUCUCCGCGUCUACGGUCCGGCGCUGCACGACUACGGCGCCCCGCUGAUGAAGGAGAGAGAUCAGGAAGCGUCACUCCUCCUCCUCAAGAUCCGGCAGCACUACGAGGAAGCCCUCAGGCGGCUCACCGUCCGGCGGCGCUCCGACGUCUGCCUGGGAGUCUGUGUCGGACGGCUCGAUCCGGUCUCCAACAUAAUCGCCAGCACCCUCCUCGCCGCCACGGAAGCUCCAGCUGACACGGACCCGACGGCGGCGCUGGGCGUCGUGGACGGGCCCAAGCUCAGGGACAUGGAGCGGCGCUCCGUCGACGGCCUCGUCGCCUUCCUCACCUGCUUCUUCCCUUACCUCGCCGAUUGGGAGGCCGUCAGGUACCUUCUCCUCGCCGAAGCCGACCCCAUCGUUGCCGCGCGCAUCGUCAUCGAGGACCGCGGCGUCAGGUGCUUCCGCGAAGGCUCCGCCGCUGCCCGCGGCGCCCUCAAGCUGGCCCUCAACUGCGCCAUGGUGGCCUCCAAGCACCCGUGUCCCUCGCAGCUCGCCGGCGUGUGGCUGUUGCUGAGCUCCUCCCUCCACAAUGUUGUCCCCUUGCUCUCAGAUGUGCAGCCCAAUCCCCCCCGCGACAUCCUCCACAGCUUCCACACAUUGGUCCAGGAGACGGCACAUUCCCCAUAUCCUCCUCCUGAUGGAAGCCUCGUCAGGCCAUGGAAACUGGCUGCCCGUUGCCACAAGCACGCCACCAAGCUGACCUACCAGCAUUCGUGGUCGCUGAGGCGAGUGCUCCUCGACACGAUCCAUGGAUUCUACCUGCAGGCUCUCGCCAGAUUGCCGCGUGGUUACCACCGCAGCCUGCUCGAUGCUGGACAUUGCUACGGCCCAUUCGACCCCGUCUCGAACAUCAUCAUCAACACCAUCUGGUACCAAGCCACCUUCCCACCACUGAGUCAGCAAGAUGAGCUCAACAUUGUCGGCACAUUGUGCCUAAUGCGGAUUGAAGCACGAUCCUUCUACGGACUUGUCUCCUUCCUCUGCACCUGUUACCAAGAUCUCAACGCCGAUCAGGCCAUAAGGUUCCUGCUCGACACGGCACUCAACUUGUCCGUGACAAAGCAGUGCAGCAGUGCCAAGGAAGAACAAGAAGCCUACCGGGCUGCUUCCAUUGCGGCAUGGCACCCCAGGCCCGACGCCCAAGCAGGAUUCCUCAGUUCAUUAAAGGCGAUGUUGGUAGCGCCUCAUGUCCUGUCACUGCUACAAGAUGGAGGCCAGUAUCAGCUCUCCUCUCAAUGUGUCCACCAGAUACACACGCUAUUGUGCUCUGAAUGCCAUUCCAUUGUUGGUGUGCUAACCAAGCAGCAGAGGCCAGCUCCCAUUUCUGAACGACAGUUCCAUUUUACCAUGUCUGAGGGACGUAAACAGCGAAGGGCUCAUAGAAGGAUCUCUGCAAAGGUCAAGGCUGCACUAAGGAGAUAUGAGAAGCAGAGUUCAGGACACUCUUAUCAGCUUCAUGUGGUGUGUGGUGUGAAUGAAUGUGUGUCAGGUCCUGACAACUGCGAAGGCUCGGGCUUGAAGCCAGGACUUGAUCCUAAUGAUGACUACUACCAUCACACCCAUGCCAACUUUCUAGCGACUCGAAAUGUUGCCGGCAUAGUUUCAGCUCCUGUACUCUUCUUUGCCGAGCUUAGCAACCACGACGACAACCAGGAUUGCCAGCUUCUGUGUUGCCCCGUGGAUUUGCCACCACCAGGCGCUGCAGGACUAGUCCGCUGCCUUUUCUGCGAGCAUCAAGGAAUCAGGAUUGUGCACCCGGCCUUGGAGAGAUUCCAUGGGCACGAGGCUGAGUUCGAGAAGAUGGUCCGCGGAGAAAAUCUGUACAAUAAUGACUGCUAUCCGGAGGGCGAUAUCGAGCCCUACACCAACCAUCAAAUCUUAAAGCACAGUGAAUAUGUUGCCAGGUGGGUGCACGGCGGACUCGACGAGGACUGCAUGUACCUCGGUAGCAAUGACUUCACUAUCGAGAAAGAUGAAAGCGAGGAGGAGGUCGACGACCUGGAGUAA